rnacentral:rRNA from 1 species
AUUGAACGCUGGCGGCAUGCCUUACACAUGCGAGUCGAACGGCAGCACGGGUGCUUGCCCCUGGUGGCGAGUGGCGAACGGGUGAGUAAUACAUCGGAACAUGUCCUGUAGUGGGGGAUAGCCCGGCGAAAGCCGGAUUAAUACCGCAUACGAUCUACGGAUGAAAGCGGGGGUCCUUCGGGCCUCGCGCUAUAGGGUUGGCCGAUAGCUGAUUAGCUAGUUGGUGGGGUAAAGGCCUACCAAGGCGACGAUCAGUAGCUGGUCUGAGAGGACGACCAGCCACACUGGGACUGAGACACGGCCCAGACUCCUACGGGAGGCAGCAGUGGGGAAUUUUGGACAAUGGGCGAUAGCCUGAUCCAGCAAUGCCGCGUGUGUGAAGAAGGCCUUCGGGUUGUAAAGCACUUUUGUCCGGAAAGAAAUCCUUGGCUCUAAUACAGUCGGGGGAUGACGGUACCGGAAGAAUAAGCACCGGCUAACUACGUG